rnacentral:snRNA from 1 species
AUCUCUUCGGAGACAUCCGAUAAAAUUGGAACGAUACAAAGAAGAUUAGCAUGGCCACUGCGCAAGGAUGACACACACAAAUUGAGAAAUGGUCCAAAUUUUU